rnacentral:rRNA from 1 species
AGUGAACGCUGGCGGUAGGCCUAACACAUGCAAGUCGAACGGCAGCACAGGAGAGCUUGCUCUCUGGGUGGCGAGUGGCGGACGGGUGAGGAAUACAUCGGAAUCUACUCUGUCGUGGGGGAUAACGUAGGGAAACUUACGCUAAUACCGCAUACGACCUACGGGUGAAAGCAGGGGACCUUCGGGCCUUGCGCGAUUGAAUGAGCCGGUGUCGGAUUAGCUAGUUGGCGGGGUAAAGGCCCACCAAGGCAACGAUCCGUAGCUGGUCUGAGAGGAUGAUCAGCCACACUGGGACUGAGACACGGUCCAGACUCCUACGGGAGGCAGCAGUGGGGAAUAUUGGACAAUAGGCGCAAGCCUGAUCCAGCCAUACCGCGUGGGUGAAGAAGGCCUUCGGGUUGUAAAGCCCUUUUGUUGGGAAAGAAAUCCAGCUGGCUAAUACCCGGUUGGGAUGACGGUACCCAAAGAAUAAGCACCGGCUAACUUCGUGCCAGCCGCCGCGGUAA